rnacentral:rRNA from 1 species
AGCAAGUGGAUAAGAGGCUCGCUGCAUCCCUAUGAACGAGUGGAUACAUAUUGUCCAGCUCGUCACUGACAUCCACGGUCUAAAAUGUGUGUGUGAGAGAGAGAGAGAGAGCACGGCGAAGCCUGGCGGCCAAGCGCGCACCGACGCUGGCCGCCGUUUAGAACUCUGUGGGACGACUCUUAUAGAGCAGCAGGUCGCAGCACACGCACAGCAAACCGGCAAGCAUCAAGGAGAAUACAGCCAGAUUAUUUGCAGAAGAAUUGGUUACAAAACAAGUACACUAAUUUGGGAGCACAUACAAGGAAGAGCAAUCGAUGGCCGAGUCUACUGUUAAGGCAGUGGUCGGGAACGUGAGCAACCUUGCCGUUCAGGAGACAAGCCUGCUAUGUGGAGUCACCCUUGAAGUUGAGUGCCUGAAAAAUGAGCUUGAGCGACUGAAGUGGUACCUGAAAUCUGCCGACGCUAAAUGGAGAUCAGGAGAUGACCGUGUGGCUACCUGGGUCAGCCAGAUCAAGGCCGUCUCAUAUGAGGCUGAGAAUGUCAUCGAGGUCACCGAUUACAUGGGCAAGCGAAACAGGCUCAAGAAGGGCUUCUUAGGUGCCAUCUCAAGGUAUGCUCACUUACCCGGUGACUUGAUCACUCUUCACAAAGUCGGUGUCGAAAUCAAGCGUGUAAGAAGGAAGCUCGAUGAGAUAUUUCAAAGUGCGGAACGUUUGAAAUUUAUUUUAGACAGUAGUGUUGUUGACGACAAGGUUCACGUAGAUGGUGAGUCUCAACAAGAGUAUGGUCUUAUGUACGAAAACAUUGAAGAUGAUUUUGUGAUGGUUGGCUUUGAAGAUGAGUAUGAAGAAAUAGUUGAUAAAUUAGUUGACAUAGACAAGGAUCUUAGUGUUGUUUCCAUAGUUGCCAUGGGUGGUGCGGGAAAAACAACACUUGCUAGAAAAGUCUACUCUUCAUCUAUAGUUGAACAACACUUUGAGAAAAUUGCUUGGGUGACUGUAUCUGAAAAGUAUAAGGGCAUUGAUUUAAUGAAGGAUAUUAUGAAACAAUUAAUGGGGACAAGGGGUGAUUCACUUGAACAAAUGGAAGAGUAUGAGGUGGGAAAAAAAACCCAUGACUUUCUCUUGCAUAGAAGAUACUUGGUAGUUCUCGAUGAUGUGUGGGAAACCAACACAUGGGACCAAAUAAACAGAAAGGUCAAAGCCUUUCCAAAUGCAAGUAAUGGCAGUAGAAUACUCUUAACCACUCGAAAGGAAGAUGUCGCAAAUCAUAUACAAAUGCCAACCCAUGUUCAUCAUUUGAAGAAGUUAGACGAAGAUGAAAGUUGGAAACUUUUUAACAGCAAAGCUCUACCAUCAUACAUAAGGAGAACCAUAAUUGAUGUGUAUGAGUUUGAAGAACUAGGGAGAAACCUUGCAAGAAAAUGUGAUGGAUUACCUCUUGCCCUUGCGGUUUUGGGAGGCUAUCUAUCAAGGAAUCUAAACACACAAACAUGGUGUGAUAUACUCUUGGAUUGGCCAUCAACCAAGAAUGGACAGAUGAUGCGAGAAAUACUAGCUCGCAGUUACAAAGACCUGGCAAAUCAUCACUUGAGAUCGUGUUACCUCUAUUUUGCCGCUUUUCCAGAAGAUUACAAAAUAUCUGUGUUGGCUCUUAUUGAAGUAUGGAUAGCAGAAAGAUUCAUUCCGCAUUUACCAAAUCAUAAACUAGAAGAAACAGCACAUAAGUAUGUACUCGAGUUGGCUCAGAGAAACUUGGUCCAAGUUAUUGAGAGAAGUGAGGUACAUGGAUGCAUUCUAACAGUAAGAAUUCAUGACAUUCUACGUGACUGGUGCAUAGAAGAAGCAAGGCAAGAUGGUUUUCUUGAUGUCAUCAACAAAACUGCAGGACAAGGUGGUCCAUCUUCAUCUAAUACCAUGAUAUCAUAUCAUUCUUCUGUCCAAAACUUGAAUGGCGAUCUAAUUUGCCAUGAAAGCAUAUCUAAUUCAGCACGAACACUUAUUGUCUUUAGAAUUCCUUCUGUAUCGUUGUCCAACCAGCUAAAAUUGUUGAGGGUUCUUCAUGUGGAAGAUUCAAGUCUGGAAAAUUUCUCCAGGAUAAUUGGUGGGUGCAUUUACCUAAGAUACAUCAGGCUUAGAAGAUGCAAAGGUGUGACAUUGCCUUCUUCAAUAGGACAACUCCUUUACUUGGAGACUAUAGAUCUAAAAUGCACACAAAUGGACUCGGUAGUACCAAAGUCCCUCUGGGAUAUCCCUACUUUAAGGCAUGUUUAUCUUGGAAAUGAGUUUUCCCCACCAAGGAGUCUGCGACAUAAAGAGCUCCAGACCUUUGAGUUAUAUCUUACGCGUGCCGAAACUAAAUACCGACGUCAUAACAUGGUUAUUUUUUUGGGCCAGAUGAAUCAAGUAACAACCUUCUCUUGGGCGAUUAGCCAUAUCCCGUUAGAAGUGAUUAACAUAUUUGCAAACAUGCCUCAUCUUGUCGAUAUUUAUCUCAACAAAUUUAGUGUGCUCAAGACGAUCCCCGCUAAGUUCCCACAAAGCCUACGGUGUCUUGUUCUAUUUGCUGAUAUCAUUGAACAAGAUCCGAUGCCAAUGUUGGAGAAGCUCCCAUCUCUUGUGGUGCUGGAAUUAUCCGGAUAUCGUGGCCGAAUCAUGUCCUGCUCUGCCAAAGGGUUUCAGCGCAUGCAAUCGCUAAAACUUGAUGAGUUCUCCAUUGAGGAGUGGCGGAUGGAUGUUGGGUCGAUGCCAAGGCUUUCCCACCUUGCACUUCGGAGAUGCAGGCAAAUAGAGAAGCUCCCCGAGGGGUUGUUGCAUGUUCGGCUCCUCAUCGGUGAUAUUGAACUGUUCAAUGUGCCUCAGAUUACCGAAGAUGAUAAUAUAUUGUAUGAGCUGCAAAGCAGAGGAUGGAAGGUGAAACGUUCACCGUGAGCCAUGCAUGAUUCGUCGCAAGAUCUUUGACUACGAAUCAGAGGAAGAGUUUCCUGACUCUCCCAAGGCACUCAUUACUUCACAAUAUGCAUGCUCCGACUUAAAGCUAUAUGAUUCCCUCAAAUACCCCAGAAUUAGCUGAAGCAUUGGCGCUACGGCGUGCGGUGGCUCUCACCUGUGAUGAAGGAUUUUCAAGGGCCGUUUUGCAGUCAGACUGUUUCUCAGUUAUCCAAAGAACCAAUGCUUCAACGGUUGAUCGCUCGCUGAUGGGGCUCAUCACUGCUAAUAUGAAGGAGUUGGCGGCGGUCUUCUCAUCUGUUCGCUUUAGUCAUGUAAAUCGUUUGUCGAAUGUUGCGGCACAUAUUCUAGCUAGAUCUUGUGAGUCCCCUAGUGACUCUAUUUUUCAUGUAACCCCGGAUUGUAUCCGGGAGGCACUCUCUCUUGAUUAUACUUGAUCAAUGAAGCGCGAUAUUCCUAAAAAAUAAUGUAAUGGAGUAAACUGGUCUACGUAACCUAUAUGUGCUCCAUCUAAUGUAUCAUGUGUGAGUAUGUAAGUAUUCCUUUUCAUUGAGGUGUUGUCUUCCCU